UACGUAGGCAGCGAGCGUUGUUCGGAAUUACUGGGCGUAUAGAGUGUGUAGGCGGUGCUCUAAGUUCGGUGUGAAAUCUCCCGGCUUAACUGGGAGGGUGCGCCGGAAACUGGAGUGCUCGAACGUGGGAGAGGAAAGCGGAAUUCCUGGUGUAGCGGUGAAAUGCGUAGAUAUCAGGAGGAACACCUGCGGUGUAGACGGCUUUCUGGACCAUUGUUGACGCUGAGACACGAAAGCGUGGGUAGCAAACAGG
rnacentral:rRNA from 1 species